UACGGAGGAUGCGAGCGUUAUCCGGAUUUAUUGGGUUUAAAGGGUGCGUAGGCGGGAUGCCAAGUCAGCGGUAAAAAUGCGGUGCUCAACGCCGUCGAGCCGUUGAAACUGGCGUUCUUGAGUGGGCGAGAAGUACGCGGAAUGCGUGGUGUAGCGGUGAAAUGCAUAGAUAUCACGCAGAACUCCGAUUGCGAAGGCAGCGUACCGGCGCCCUACUGACGCUGAAGCACGAAGGCGUGGGUAUCGAACAGG
rnacentral:rRNA from 1 species